rnacentral:rRNA from 1 species
UACGUACCGUACGAACGUUAUUCGGAAUUACUGGGCGUAAAGGGUUUGUAGGCGGCUUUGUAAGUCAGGUGUGAAAUCCCUCGGCUCAACCGAGGAAUAGCGCUUGAUACUGCAAGGCUUGAGGGAGACAGGGGUAAGCGGAACUGAUGGUGGAGCGGUGAAAUGCGUUGAUAUCAUCAGGAACACCGGUGGCGAAAGCGGCUUACUGGGUCUCUUCUGACGCUGAGGAACGAAAGCUAGGGUAGCGAACGGG